rnacentral:rRNA from 1 species
GAACGCUGGCGGCGUGCUUAACACAUGCAAGUCGAACGCUGAAACCGGGUGCUUGCACUGGGUGGAUGAGUGGCGAACGGGUGAGUAAUACGUGAGUAACCUGCCCUUGACUCUGGGAUAAGCCUGGGAAACUGGGUCUAAUACUGGAUACGACAUGUCAUCGCAUGGUGGUGUGUGGAAAGGGUUUUACUGGUUUUGGAUGGGCUCACGGCCUAUCAGCUUGUUGGUGGGGUAAUGGCUCACCAAGGCGACGACGGGUAGCCGGCCUGAGAGGGUGACCGGCCACACUGGGACUGAGACACGGCCCAGACUCCUACGGGAGGCAGCAGUGGGGAAUAUUGCACAAUGGGCGAAAGCCUGAUGCAGCGACGCCGCGUGAGGGAUGACGGCCUUCGGGUUGUAAACCUCUUUCAGCACGGAAGAAGCGAAAGUGACGGUACGUGCAGAAGAAGCGCCGGCUAACUACGUGCCAGCAGCGGGGUAAAUAA